AUCCAGCUGACGAGUCGCAAAUAGAACGGAACGCCCGUCCUGGAU
rfam:Schistosoma rodhaini strain Burundi genome assembly, scaffold: SROB_scaffold0003263